rnacentral:rRNA from 1 species
CAGGUCUCUGGCCAUUACUGACACUGAGGAGCGAAAGCGUGGGGAGCGAACAGGAUUAGAUACCCUGGUAGUCCACGCCGUAAACGGUGGGCACUAGUUGUGGGAACCUUCCACGGUUUCUGCGACGCAGCUAACGCAUUAAGUGCCCCGCCUGGGGAGUACGAUCGCAAGAUUAAAACUCAAAGGAAUUGACGGGGCCCCGCACAAGCAGCGGAGCAUGCGGCUUAAUUCGACGCAACGCGAAGAACCUUACCAAGGCUUGACAUAUACAGGAAUAUGGCAGAAAUGUCAUAGCCGCAAGGUCUGUAUACAGGUGGUGCAUGGUUGUCGUCAGCUCGUGUCGUGAGAUGUUGGGUUAAGUCCCGCAACGAGCGCAACCCUCGUUCUGUGUUGCCAGCAUUUAGUUGGGGACUCACAGGAGACUGCCGGGGUUAACUCGGAGGAAGGUGGGGAUGACGUCAAAUCAUCAUGCCCCUUAUGUCUUGGGCUGCACGCAUGCUACAAUGGCUGGUACAAACGGCUGCGAUACCGCAAGGUGGAGCGAAUCCGAUAAAGCCAGUCUCAGUUCGGAUUGGGGUCUGCAACUCGACCCCAUGAAGUCGGAGUUGCUAGUAAUCGUAGAUCUGCAACGCUACGGUGAAUACGUUCCCGGGGCUUGUACACACCGCCCGUCACGUCACGAAAGUCGGUAACACCCGAAGUCAGUGGCCCAACCGUAAGGGGGAGCUGCC